ensembl:lncRNA LOC102552770 uncharacterized LOC102552770
GACACGCCCACCCCUGCCGUGCUCGCGCCCACCCUGUACAGCUGCGCCUGCGCGCCCCAGCGCGGAGCAGCUCGGGAGUAUGGGACGUCCUUCAGGAUUUAAAUCAAUACAGGAAGCGAGGCGGCACUCGUUGCCCCGGGCAACCGUGGUCCGAAGAGCUGUCCGGGAAGCUGGAGACCAAGAGUGAAUGGGGGAAGGUGGGGGUGGACACGAAUACCUGGACUCGGAGGAAGGCGUGGCUCCAGUUUGGGGAAGAAAUGGGGCGCGUCUCCCUGAAGCUUUGAUUCACUCAACAAUCAGGGGUGAUGGAGCCACAAGUUAUCCACUACUAGCUAACCAACACGAGCUGGUGAAGCAGAAAAACUCCUCUGAGGGGAGACGGGCCUGUAGCCUCACGGAUGAUGGACUUAUCACCACCACCGAAAAGCUGCUGAAGUCAUCGUUUCUGGGUCCUGGGCAGUAUUUUUUGGUAUCAGUUACUCCCAGGGCGGCCUCGGCAGUACGCCAAGGUCUGGCACACCAGCCUCAUUCUGAGUUCAUAUCUGCUUCCUACACCCCUGGGUCCAUCCCUUCCCAUUGGCUGGUAUGGGGGGCUGGAUCACACCUGGUAUCACCCGAUCCUGCGAUCUGCUCCAGCAACCACAGCCUUUCCUGAAGCUGUAAACAUUCGUUGGCGCUGUGCCUUGUGGCAAAGGUACCAGUGCUGUCUGUUCCUGCGGCCAUGUUUGUUAUUUAUUCUAUGCAUGUGCCGGGCAUGGAUGGAGGCAUUUCUUCAAGCUCUCUGUCUUAUGUUUUGAGAACUGGUCUCUCACUCGACCUGGGGCUCACCCAUUGGAGCAGGCCGGUGGGCCAGUGUGUUCCUGGCAUUCUCCUGCCUCCGCACACACCUCACCUGGGAAAGCCAGCUUUCAGAGCCCACAGGAUGUAGGUGGACAUUUGUGAUCUGUGGUCCCAGGACUCAGGAGCAGUGUCCCAUGUUGGAGGCCAGCCCUGGUCUGCAGAGCAAGAUGCUGGUCUCAACAACAAGCAUCCAAAGGAAAAAUCCAACCAAGAAAUGAGAAGGUGCAUCUGGGCCUGGCAGUGCCAACUCCACUGUGCUUUCCCACCCACACUGCUUGCCCAUGGAGGACUGUCUAUAAAAGAGCUGCAGCUCAGCGUGGAUGGGGUUUUCACUGAUAUUUUAAGGCAGGUUUUUACUGUAUAGUUCUAGCUGGAACUUGUGUAGACCUGGCCUCGAACUCACACAGCUCCACCUGCCUCUGCCUCCCAAGUGCUGUGAUUUAAAGAUGUGAGGCAGCGUGCCCAGUUAUUAAAUGUUUUAAAAAUUAAUUUCCGGGGCUGGAGAGAUGGCUCAGUGGUUAAGAGCAUUGACUGUGGGCUGGAGAGAUGGCUCAGCGGUUAAGAGCACUGACUGCUCUUCCAGAGGCCCUGAGUUCAACUCUCAGCAACCACAUGGUGGCUCACAACCAUCUGUAAAGGGAUCAGAUGCCCUCUUCUGGUCUGAAGACAGCUACAGUGUACUUGUAUGCGUAAAAUAAAUAAAUCUUAUAAAAAAAAAAAAAAAGAGCAUUGACUGUUCUUUCAGAGGUCCUGAGUUCAAUUCCCAGCAACCACAUGGUGGCUCACAACCAUCUGUAAUGGGAUCAGAUGCCCUCUCCUGGUGUGUCUGAAGACAGCUACAGUGUAUUCACAUUCAUAAAAUAAAUAAUUCUUAAAAAAAUUCAUUUC